CGGCCCCGCCCCACGGAGGAGACGCGCUUUGUGCUGGGCGCCGGCCGCGCCAGUCCACGCUGCGGCGCCACGCGGGCGGCCUGGGGCUGGCGGAGCGCGAGGCGGAGGCGGAGGCCGAGGGCUACUUCCGCAAGAUGCAGGCGCGCCGCUUCCCCGACUAGCGCGGCGGGGCCGGGGGCGGGCGGGGGGCGGGCCGAGGGCGCGGGCGGCCGC
rnacentral:lncRNA from 1 species